CAGCUUUAGCCACAAACUGGCAUGCUAGCAGCCUUUAAGAUACUCCACAUUAGAUUAUUUCUCUGGAUAAAUUAUAUUAAAAGUGGUAUUUUCAUCCCUACUGACUUUUUAAUGCUACUGUUUUUUUAGGGUAGAGGACUAUAACAGGCUCAGGUGGACUACAACAGGCUCAGGUGGACUAUAACAGGCUCAGGUGGACUACAACAGACUCAUGUGGACUAUAACAGGCUCAGGUGGACUACAACAGGCUCAGGUGGACUAUAACAAGCUCAGGUGGACUACAACAGUCUCAGGUGGACUACAACAGACUCAUGUGGACUACAACAGGCUCAGGUGGACUACAACAGGCUCAGGUGGACUACAACAGGUUCAGGUGGACUACAACAGGCUCGGGUGGACUACAACAGGCUCAGGUGGACUACAACAGGCUCAGGUGGACUAUAACAGGCUCAGGUGGACUACAACAGGCUCAGGUGGACUAUAACAGGCUCAGGUGGACUACAAAAAGCUCAGGUGGACUACAACAGGCUCAGGUGGACUACAAUAGGCUCAGGUGGAAAGCCCUCACAGGGUUCGACUGCAACCGUGAUGGAUUUCCUAAAGUUGGACUCCACCUCGGCCCUGGAUGCUAAUGGUUCCUCCAGCUGUGGGCUUACACUGGAUAAGAGUGAAACGAAGAAUUCAGCUUAUCUAAAACGUCUCCAGUAAUCUGUACGAAUAAGCUCAGCGUGAACUCCAGUCACCAAGAAAGACUGACGGCAGAUCUCAAUAAAGAUAAGUAAUGGGUUUCUCUCAGGGACAAAGACUUUUCGGAGUACAGGUAAACAGGCUGAAAGAUUGAGGGGAAUGAAUACAGGCACUAAUUUCACCUCUGUGUGCACCUGGGAAGAGGAUCCUUUAUCUGUCCCUCUUAGUUCAGAAUGCUCCAGAGUCGCGUCUCUGAUACUGAUUCCUCAUAUGACUCCUCAGUAAUCUCUGUGGAUUAUGGCGUCAUGACUCAGACUCAGACAGGCUGUCUGCUUCUGCUGGAGGGAGAAGGAACAGGCAGAGACUCAAAACAGUGUUUCAGAUGGUGAUACACACACAGACACACACACACACACACACACACACACACACACACACACACACACACACACAAACAAGCAGGCUCUUCAGUGCAUUUUGCAGAUGGAGCCCUGGAUAGAGAGUUUUUCAUUCCUAACUGUGGUGUAAAUAGUGACGAUGUUAAUAAUGCAUCUUGUUUUGUUUGUAAAUUUAAAGCAGUUUUAAAUGAUAUUUUUGAGCA